ensembl:lncRNA
GCAGAGAGAGGUAGAGGUGAAGUAGAGGCAGAGGUGAAGAGAGGUAGAGGUGGGAUAGAGGUAGAGAGAAAGAGGUGGGGCAGAGAGAGGUAGAGGUGAAGUAGAGGUAGAGGUGGGGUAGAGAGAGGUAGAGGUGAAGUGGAGGUAGAGGUGGGGCAGAGAGAGGUAGAGAUGAAGUAGAGGUAGAGGUGGGGUAGAGAGAGGUAGAGGAGAAGUAGAGGUAGAGGUGAAGUAGAGGUAGAGGUGGGAUAGAGGUAGAGGUAGAGAGAGAGAGGUGGGGCAGAGAGAAGUAGAGGUGAAGUAGAGGUAGAGGUGGGGUAGAGAGAGGUAGAGGUAAAG